rnacentral:rRNA from 1 species
CCUACGGGUGGCAGCAGUGAGGAAUAUUGGUCAAUGGGCGCGAGCCUGAACCAGCCAAGUCGCGUGAAGGAUGACUGCCCUACGGGUUGUAAACUUCUUUUGUAAAGGAGUAAAGUGAGGCACGUGUGCCUUUUUGUAUGGACUUUAUGAAUAAGGCACGGCGAACUUCGUGCCAGCCGCCGCGGGAAUACGGAGGAUCGGAUCCUUAUCCGGAUUUAUUUGGUUUAAAGGGAACGUAGAUGGGUUGAUAAGUCAGUUGGGAAAGUUUGCGGCUCAAACGUAAAAUUGCAAUUGAUACUGGCAGUCUUGAGUACAGUUGAGGUAGGCGGAAUUCGUGGUGUAGCGGUGAAAUGCUUAGAUAUCACGAAGAACUCCGAUUGCGAAGGCAGCUUACUAGAC